AAGCAUUUGGCAUGAAAGAUGUGAAGCGGAAGUGAAAUUGAAGUAGUUUGUAAAACUUAACUUUGAUGGAUCUUGUGGCGAUUUCUGUUAAGAGAAAAAAACGUGGAGUUUUUUUGCAUGCAUGGAUACAGAAAAAAAAAAUUGCGGCUUGAAUGCUGCUGAAUUGGGAGCAGAAACUUGUAAAUAAGAGAGAAGGGAGGAUAUUGGAAUCGAGUAUCUAGAGAUGGGAAUCGGUGACUUCAAUGUUGUAAAUGCAAGAAAGCAAAAUGGUGGCUUUGAAAUUGGGGUAUGGAAGUUAAAGAAGAUGAAGAAGUGAAUUGAAUAAAAACAUUUGAAUCUGCAUGGUGAAGGGGAUUGAGUUUUUCUCUUUGGCUUUCCCUUGACUUUACAUUGAAAACACGCGUACCGAACCUAUGUUUCCAAUGUAAGUAUUAUUUCAUUGGGUAAAUUACAAUAGACUUUUCGAUUCAUGUAUGUUUCAGAUGUAAGUGUAUUUUCAUCAAAUUGGUUGAAAAGUAAAUAAAGAAACAAAAAGCAGCACUGAGUCUGAGAGUCUUCCCUCUAACGAUGUGUCUUCUGUUACAAAUUUCAAAUCUCCUCCUCUCUAUCCAACUCAAAUAUUAAACAAACCAAUCUAAUCUUUCUCUCAAGUUCAUGUUGGUGAGAACUCAAUCAGAACCGCUAAAUCAUGGUUGUUGACGGCAGAGCUGCCGCAGAGUAGAGGGAGGCGCGCUGGGGUUCGCGUCCUAGAAGGUGGACCGGCUGGUUAGACAUAACUUGGACCGGUUUUCCCAGUUUUUACCGAUUCAAACCGGUUUAUCUGGUUUUCCCCCCGGUUUUUGAGACUAGCGGUUUUGUAAGGCUGUUCAGACCGGACCUUGAUACGGUUCAUGGUUGAACCGGUCGGUCUGGUUUUUAAAACAUUGGUUAUCACCCACUUUGUAAACAAAAACAUAAAAGGAGAGAGGAUUCCCUGCCUCAACCCACUCUCUGGCGAAUUUUGCUUGGCUUGGUUAAUCAAGAUGAGAGUUUUUUAUUUCUUUUGAACCAUGGAUCGAUUUAUUAAUACUUGUAUUUUCAUCAAUUUCCACCUUCAAAUACCAUGAUGCACUUUGUUUUCUAUAUUGUAUUCGUAAAACAGUACUCUCACCCGUUUAUUUCUUAAGAGUCAAGCUUCUAC
rnacentral:lncRNA from 1 species